rnacentral:hammerhead_ribozyme from 1 species
UGACGAGUCCCAAAUAGGACGAAACGCGAGUC